GACGAACGCUGGCGGCGUGCUUAACACAUGCAAGUCGAACGAAGAGCGAUGGAAGCUUGCUUCUAUCAAUCUUAGUGGCGAACGGGUGAGUAACGCGUAAUCAACCUGCCCUUCAGAGGGGGACAACAGUUGGAAACGACUGCUAAUACCGCAUACGAUCCAAUCUCGGCAUCGGGACUGGAUGAAAGGUGGCCUCUAUUUAUAAGCUAUCACUGAAGGAGGGGAUUGCGUCUGAUUAGCUAGUUGGAGGGGUAACGGCCCACCAAGGCGAUGAUCAGUAGCCGGUCUGAGAGGAUGAACGGCCACAUUGGGACUGAGACACGGCCCAGACUCCUACGGGAGGCAGCAGUGGGGAAUCUUCCGCAAUGGACGAAAGUCUGACGGAGCAACGCCGCGUGAGUGAUGACGGCCUUCGGGUUGGAAAGCUCUGUUAAUCGGGACGAAUGGUUCUUGUGCGAAUAGUGCGAGGAUUUGACGGUACCGGAAUAGAAAGCCACGGCUAACUACGUG
rnacentral:rRNA from 1 species